rnacentral:rRNA from 1 species
ACUACGAGGAGCUGCAGUCGAGAAUCAUUCACAAUGGGGGAAACCCUGAUGGUGCGACGCCGCGUGGGGGAAUGAAGGUCUUCGGAUUGUAAACCCCUGUCAUGUGGGAGCAAAUUAAAAAGAUAGUACCACAAGAGGAAGAGACGGCUAACUCUGUGCCAGCAGCCGCGGUAAUACAGAGGUCUCAAGCGUUGUUCGGAAUCACUGGGCGUAAAGCGUGCGUAGGCUGUUUCGUAAGUCGUGUGUGAAAGGCGCGGGCUCAACCCGCGGACGGCACCUGAUACUGCGAGACUAGAGUAAUGGGGGGGGAACCGGAAUUCUCGGUGUAGCAGUGAAAGGCGUAGAUAUCGAGAGGAACACUCGUGGCGAAGGCGGGUUCCUGGACAUUAACUGACGCUGAGGCACGAAGGCCAGGGGAGCGAAAGGGAUUAGAUACCCUUGUAGUC